rnacentral:rRNA from 1 species
UACGAAGGGGGCUAGCGUUGCUCGGAAUCACUGGGCGUAAAGCGCACGUAGGCGGAUUGUUAAGUCAGGGGUGAAAUCCUGGAGCUCAACUCCAGAACUGCCUUUGAUACUGGCGAUCUCGAGUCCGGGAGAGGUGAGUGGAACUCCGAGUGUAGAGGUGAAAUUCGUAGAUAUUCGGAAGAACACCAGUGGCGAAGGCGACUUACUGGACACAUAUUGACGCUGAGGUGCGAAAGCGUGGGGAGCAAACAGG